rnacentral:rRNA from 1 species
AACUGCUGGACAAGGAGUGUUCUGUUGAGCUCAUUUUCACACGAUGAACAACUGGUUAGAACUGAUUUCGGGCAAGGGGAAUCCGACUGUUUAAUUGAAACAAAGCAUUGCGAGGGCCUCAAAGGGUGGUGCCACAAUGUGAUUUCUGCCCAGUGCUCUGAAUGUCAAAGUGAGGAAAUUCAACUAAGCGCGGGUAAACGGCGGGAGUAACUAUGACUCUCUUAAGGUAGCCAAAUGCCUCGUCAUCCAAUUAGUGACGCGCAUGAAUGGAUUAAUGAGAUUCCCACUGUCCCCAUCUACUGUCCAGCGAAACCACAGCCAAGGGAACGGGCUUGGGUAAAUCAGCGGGGAAAGAAGACCCUGUUGAGCUUGACUCUAAUCUGACUUUGUGAAAUGACUUAGGAGGUGUAGGAUAUGUGGGAGCUCUGGUGAUCUUGAAAUACCACUACUCUUAAUGUCACUUUACUUACUCUAUCAGACUGUGGCCUGCUUCCCAGCAGGUUUUUGUUUCAAGGCAUCUCAUCUGACUUGUUGACUUGCGUAGAGGACGUAGUCAGGUGGGCAGUUUGGCUGGGGCGGCACAUCUGUUAAAGGAUAACGCAGGUGUCCCAAGGUAAGCUCAAGGAGAACAGAAAUCUCAUGUGGAUCAGAAGGGGAAAUGCUUGCUUGAUUUUGCUUUUCAGUGUGAAGACAAACUGUGCAAACAUGGCCUAUCGAUCCUUUGG